rnacentral:tRNA from 1 species
GCCUGGGUGGCUCAGUUGGUUAAGCAUCUGACUUCAGCUCAGUUCAUGAUCUCACAGUUUGUGAGUUCAAGCCCCGCAUCAGGCU